UAAAAAGUCAUUUAUUCUUAAUGGAAAAGCUGAAUUUACAGCAAUUAUUACUCCAGCCUUCAGAGUCACAUGAUCCUUCAGAAAUCAUCAGAAAAUGCAGAUUUGGUGCUCAAGAAACAUUUCUUAUUAUUAUCAUUUUUAAAAACAGUUGUGCUGCUUAAUAUUUUUGUGGAAACAUUUAAAAGGUUGUAGCAUAAAAAUAAUAAAUUAAUACUUUUAUCCAACAAAGACACUGAUCAAAGAAAUUGAUCAAAGUUUAGAGUAAAGAUAUUUAUAAUGUUUCAAAAGAUUUCACAUAAAUCUUGUUCUUUUGAAUUUUCUAUUCAACAUCCUGAAAUCAUCCCAACACCGAUUAUAAUACCCAUUAUUAAUAACUGAGCAGCAAAUCAGCAUAUUGGAAUGAUUUCUGAAGGGUCAUGAGCAACUAAAGACUGGAGUAAUGGCUGCUGAAAAUUCAAUAAUUCAAUUCAAUAAUUUAUUAUAUCUUAAAAUAUAUUAAAAUACACUGUUAGACAUUUCUGUAAUUUCUACAGUCAUUUACUGUAUAUCACCCAGUAUAAUACUGCAAAUUCCCUUUACAGUAAGUAACUGUAAUACCCUUUGCAUCAUGGGAAUUUUCUGUGACAUCAAACCCCACAGAGACUUACUGUAUUUUUUUUUUUUAAUUGCUGUAUACUACUGUAUUUCCCAUAACGGCCUCUUUGGCGCCAUUCUAUUGAGGUUGUUUUAUUUUCCUCAUUUCUUACAUUUAAAUUGACACGAUUUGCACAACACCGUCUCUACAAUGCCGCAACAGCUUGGGACUGACUACACUGGACAUGUUAUAUAAUGAUUGGAAAAUCCCUUUGUCCUUCAUGUCAGAAACAGCUCAGGUGCUUGGAGUACAUCUGUACGUCAGAAAUAUUCGGGGGCAUCACUUUACUGUCUGCAUCCACUGUAGAUAAUAUAAUGGGUUCUAUAUUGUCUUUCGGUCGCGUCGAGCCGCGCCACUCGCAUCCGAGGAGGAAGACACGGAAGCAGCGGGGCAGCGCCGCGGGUUUAUCCCUGGGAUGAAUCCGCCAGAGUGGACGAGCUCCGGAGAACAUCUGCGCUGUCGAUGCACCUUAUGAGAGAAUAAGACCUGCAAGCAAGCAACUGCAAUGAAGCAUCAUGAAAGACAUGAGCUAUAUGAGCAGGCCAGUCACCCCGAGACUGAUAAUUCAUGAGAAGACAUUUCUGUCACUAACAAAGUGGAUGAUGAACAAAGGUGGUGGCCACGUUUUGGAGCAGCACCUGGGUUUUGCAGAUGGCUAUGUAUUCUUGUGAGGAUAAAUCCAGAGGAUACAACAUAAUGCACUGCAAAACGUCCUAAGA